ACGUUAUGGUAUGGGAGCUAUUAGCUGAGACGCAAGGACCAUCAUUACCUGAUCCGGAUAAUACCGGCGGAGGGAAUUCAUAACUUAACAAUA
rnacentral:ncRNA from 2 species